rnacentral:rRNA from 1 species
GGUCAAGUGAAGAAGCGCAUACGGUGGAUGCCUUGGCAGUCAGAGGCGAUGAAAGACGUGGUAGCCUGCGAAAAGCUUCGGGGAGUCGGCAAACAGACUUUGAUCCGGAGAUGUCUGAAUGGGGGAACCCAGCCAUCAUAAGAUGGUUAUCUUGUACUGAAUACAUAGGUGCAAGAGGCGAACCAGGGGAACUGAAACAUCUAAGUACCCUGAGGAAAAGAAAUCAACCGAGAUUCCCUUAGUAGUGGCGAGCGAACGGGGACUAGCCCUUAAGUGGCUUUGAGAUUAGCGGAACGCUCUGGAAAGUGCGGCCAUAGUGGGUGAUAGCCCUGUACGCGAAAAUCUCUUAGUCAUGAAAUCGAGUAGGACGGAGCACGAGAAACUUUGUCUGAAUAUGGGGGGACCAUCCUCCAAGGCUAAAUACUACUGACUGACCGAUAGUGAACUAGUACCGUGAGGGAAAGGCGAAAAGAACCCCGGAGAGGGGAGUGAAAUAGAUCCUGAAACCGUAUGCGUACAAGCAGUGGGAGCAGACUUUGUUCUGUGACUGCGUACCUUUUGUAUAAUGGGUCAGCGACUUAUUUUCAGUGGCGAGCUUAACCGAAUAGGGGAGGCGUAGCGAAAGCGAGUCUUAAUAGGGCGUCUAGUCGCUGGGAAUAGACCCGAAACCGGGCGAUCUAUCCAUGGGCAGGUUGAAGGUUGGGUAACACUAACUGGAGGACCGAACCGACUACCGUUGAAAAGUUAGCGGAUGACCUGUGGAUCGGAGUGAAAGGCUAAUCAAGCUCGGAGAUAGCUGGUUCUCCUCGAAAGCUAUUUAGGUAGCGCCUCAUGUAUCACUGUAGGGGGUAGAGCACUGUUUCGGCUAGGGGGUCAUCCCGACUUACCAAACCGAUGCAAACUCCGAAUACCUACAAGUGCCGAGCAUGGGAGACACACGGCGGGUGCUAACGUCCGUCGUGAAAAGGGAAACAACCCAGACCGUCAGCUAAGGUCCCAAAGUUAUGGUUAAGUGGGAAACGAUGUGGGAAGGCUUAGACAGCUAGGAGGUUGGCUUAGAAGCAGCCACCCUUUAAAGAAAGCGUAAUAGCUCACUAGUCGAGUCGGCCUGCGCGGAAGAUGUAACGGGGCUCAAACCAUACACCGAAGCUACGGGUAUCACGUAAGUGAUGCGGUAGAGGAGCGUUCUGUAAGCCUGUGAAGGUGAGUUGAGAAGCUUGCUGGAGGUAUCAGAAGUGCGAAUGCUGACAUGAGUAACGACAAUGGGUGUGAAAAACACCCACGCCGAAAGACCAAGGUUUCCUGCGCAACGUUAAUCGACGCAGGGUUAGUCGGUCCCUAAGGCGAGGCUGAAAAGCGUAGUCGAUGGAAAACAGGUUAAUAUUCCUGUACUUCUGGUUAUUGCGAUGGAGGGACGGAGAAGGCUAGGCCAGCUUGGCGUUGGUUGUCCAAGUUUAAGGUGGUAGGCUGGAAUCUUAGGUAAAUCCGGGAUUCUAAGGCCGAGAGCUGAUGACGAGUCAUCUUUUAGAUGACGAAGUGGUUGAUGCCAUGCUUCCAAGAAAAGCUUCUAAGCUUCAGGUAACCAGGAACCGUACCCCAAACCGACACAGGUGGUUGGGUAGAGAAUACCAAGGCGCUUGAGAGAACUCGGGUGAAGGAACUAGGCAAAAUGGCACCGUAACUUCGGGAGAAGGUGCGCCGGUGAGGGUGAAGGACUUGCUCCGUAAGCCCAUGCCGGUCGAAGAUACCAGGCCGCUGCGACUGUUUAUUAAAAACACAGCACUCUGCAAACACGAAAGUGGACGUAUAGGGUGUGACGCCUGCCCGGUGCCGGAAGGUUAAUUGAUGGGGUUAGCUAACGCGAAGCUCUUGAUCGAAGCCCCGGUAAACGGCGGCCGUAACUAUAACGGUCCUAAGGUAGCGAAAUUCCUUGUCGGGUAAGUUCCGACCUGCACGAAUGGCGUAACGAUGGCGGCGCUGUCUCCACCCGAGACUCAGUGAAAUUGAAAUCGCUGUGAAGAUGCAGUGUAUCCGCGGCUAGACGGAAAGACCCCGUGAACCUUUACUAUAGCUUUGCACUGGACUUUGAAUUUGCUUGUGUAGGAUAGGUGGGAGGCUUUGAAGCGUGGACGCCAGUCUGCGUGGAGCCAUCCUUGAAAUACCACCCUGGCAACUUUGAGGUUCUAACUCAGGUCCGUUAUCCGGAUCGAGGACAGUGUAUGGUGGGUAGUUUGACUGGGGCGGUCUCCUCCUAAAGAGUAACGGAGGAGUACGAAGGUGCGCUCAGACCGGUCGGAAAUCGGUCGUAGAGUAUAAAGGCAAAAGCGCGCUUGACUGCGAGACAGACACGUCGAGCAGGUACGAAAGUAGGUCUUAGUGAUCCGGUGGUUCUGUAUGGAAGGGCCAUCGCUCAACGGAUAAAAGGUACUCCGGGGAUAACAGGCUGAUACCGCCCAAGAGUUCAUAUCGACGGCGGUGUUUGGCACCUCGAUGUCGGCUCAUCACAUCCUGGGGCUGAAGCCGGUCCCAAGGGUAUGGCUGUUCGCCAUUUAAAGUGGUACGCGAGCUGGGUUUAGAACGUCGUGAGACAGUUCGGUCCCUAUCUGCCGUGGACGUUUGAGAUUUGAGAGGGGCUGCUCCUAGUACGAGAGGACCGGAGUGGACGAACCUCUGGUGUUCCGGUUGUCACGCCAGUGGCAUUGCCGGGUAGCUAUGUUCGGAAUAGAUAACCGCUGAAAGCAUCUAAGCGGGAAACUAGCCUCAAGAUGAGAUCUCACUGGAACCUUGAGUUCCCUGAAGGGCCGUCGAAGACUACGACGUUGAUAGGUUGGGUGUGUAAGCGCUGUGAGGCGUUGAGCUAACCAAUACUAAUUGCCCGUGAGGCUUGACCAU